GGCACCGUAGCCCAACGGCAGAGGCAAUGGUUUCAGGAACCAUAAAGUAGGAGUUCGAAUCUCUUCGGUGCUACCA
rnacentral:tRNA from 1 species